AUGGACCAGAGGAGUGGGAAAUUAGAGCUCCUGGUAAAGCGUAUAGGAAAUGGGAAGCUUCAAUGGCUUUAGGGCUUGGCACUGAUGUCCUAUGAGUUAUGUGGGAACAAGAUGAUGCUCCUGACCUGAUCACAUUAUGAAGGACUUGAAUACUCGAGGAUUUGAAGUAAUUUAAUAACUUCAGGUGAUAUUGUUGUUGCCUUCCAAAAGAUAAGAUACAUGAAACUACUAAACAACAGUUUCAGGUAGCCUAGAUGUAUAUGGUAGUGAAAUGCAACAGCAAUGCACGUCAAGGAGUGGAGGUGUUAGAAAACAGACCUUUAAGAUGAAGUGUUUGGGAAGGGCAGA